rnacentral:tRNA from 13 species
GCAGUCGUGGCGGAGUGGUUAAGCGAUGGAUUCGAAAUCCAUUGGGGUUUCCCCGCGUAGGUUCGAAUCCUACCGGCUGCG